rnacentral:rRNA from 1 species
GACGAACGCUGGCGGCGUGCUUAACACAUGCAAGUGGAGCGACGAACCAGGGCUUGCCCUGGGGCAAAGCCGCGAACGGGUGAGUACCACGUGGGUAACGUGCCCCGAUGACCGGGACAACCCGAGGAAACUCGGGCUAAUACCGGAUGUGCUGUGUGGCCCCAAGGCCACUCAGUAAAGGAAGCUUCGGCCUCCGCAUUGGGAGCGGCCCGCGGCCCAUUAGCUUGUUGGUGAGGUAAAGGCUCACCAAGGCAACGAUGGGUAGCUGGUCUGAGAGGACGAUCAGCCACACUGGGACUGAGACACGGCCCAGACUCCUACGGGAGGCAGCAGUGGGGAAUAUUGGACAAUGGGCGCAAGCCUGAUCCAGCGAUGCCGCGUGUGUGAAGAAGGCCUGCGGGUUGUAAAGCACUUUCAGUAGGGAAGAAAACCCGAGUGCUAAUAUCACUCGGUCUUGACGUUACUUACAGAAGAAGCACGCUAACUCCGUGCCAGCCGCCGCCGUAAC